rnacentral:rRNA from 1 species
GAUGAACGCUGGCGGCGUGCCUAAUACAUGCAAGUCGAGCGAAUGGAUUAAGAGCUUGCUCUUAUGAAGUUAGCGGCGGACGGGUGAGUAACACGUGGGUAACCUGCCCAUAAGACUGGGAUAACUCCGGGAAACCGGGGCUAAUACCGGAUAACAUUUUGAACCGCAUGGUUCGAAAUUGAAAGGCGGCUUCGGCUGUCACCUAUGGAUGGACCCGCGUCGCAUUAGCUAGUCGGUGAGGUAACGGCUCACCAAGGCAACGAUGCGUAGCCGACCUGAGAGGGUGAUCGGCCACACUGGGACUGAGACACGGCCCAGACUCCUACGGGAGGCAGCAGUAGGGAAUCUUCCGCAAUGGACGAAAGUCUGACGGAGCAACGCCGCGUGAGUGAUGAAGGCUUUCGGGUCGUAAAACUCUGUUGUUAGGGAAGAACAAGUGCUAGUUGAAUAAGCUGACACCUUGACGGUACCUAACCAGAAAGCCACGGCUAACUACGUGCCAGCCGCCGCGGUAA